rnacentral:rRNA from 1 species
ACGCACGCUGGCGGCAUGCCUAACACCUGCCAGUCGAACGAGACCUUCGGGUCUAGUGGCGCACGGGUGCGUCACGCGUGGGAACCUGCCCUUAGGUUCGGAAUAACUCCCCGAAAGGGGUGCUAAUACCGGAUAAUGUCUUCGGACCAAAGAUUUAUCGCCUUUGGAUGGGCCCGCGUUGGAUUAGCUAGUUGGUAGGGUAAAAGCCUACCAAGGCGACGAUCCAUAGCUGGUCUGAGAGGAUGAUCAGCCACACUGGGACUGAGACACGGCCCAGACUCCUACGGGAGGCAGCAGUGGGGAAUAUUGGACAAUGGGCGAAAGCCUGAUCCAGCAAUGCCGCGUGAGUGAUGAAGGCCUUAGGGUUGUAAAGCUCUUUUACCCGGGAUGAUAAUGACAGUACCGGGAGAAUAAGCUCCGGCUAACUCCGUG